GGCGAACGCUGGCGGCGUGCUUAACACAUGCAAGUCGAACGGAAAGGCCCUGCUUUUGUGGGGUGCUCGAGUGGCGAACGGGUGAGUAACACGUGAGUAACCUGCCCUUGACUUUGGGAUAACUUCAGGAAACUGGGGCUAAUACCGGAUAGGAGCUCCUGCUGCAUGGUGGGGGUUGGAAAGUUUCGGCGGUUGGGGAUGGACUCGCGGCUUAUCAGCUUGUUGGUGGGGUAGUGGCUUACCAAGGCUUUGACGGGUAGCCGGCCUGAGAGGGUGACCGGCAACAUUGGGACGGAGAUACGGCACAGACUCCUACGGGAGGCAGCAGUGGGGAAUAGUGCACAAUGGGCGGAAGCCUGAUGCAGCAACGCCGCGUGCGGGAUGAAGGCCUUCGGGUUGGAAACCGCUUUCGCCUGUGACGAAGCGUGAGUGACGGUAAUGGGUAAAGAAGCACCGGCUAACUACGUG
rnacentral:rRNA from 1 species